CAGUGGAGCCUCAGAGGAGUGUCCUGCAAAUGUUACUGACUCGUGUGCCAGCGUCACAACAAGUACAACUGUAGUAGGUGAGAAAAUGUACCCUUCACUUUGACAAACACUGACAGUUCAUUGAAUACAUGUUUUAGAAAAAAGCUUCCAAAGAUCUCUGUAGAUAAACAGAGAAGCUUAACAUCCUUACACUGAAGUCUAGAUUAUUUUUUUUUUUUUUUGGUUUCUAUCGGUCCAUCAAUUGGAUUAUGGGUUUGUGUUUUCCUCAUGACUACAACAUUUUUGUUGUUGUUUGUUUGCAGGGGGUUCAACUUCUGAAUCAAAUGUCAAAAGCUGCGUCCCAUCUGCACAAUGUCUCAAUGGUUCCCUGAACACAGGAAGUGCAAGGGUCACAGUGAGCACCUUGUGCUGUAACACAAACAACUGCAACACCGGAAGUUCUUCAGGUAAUUUUGUUUGUGCUGAUGGAAUCUAAUGAUGAAUCUAAUGUUCAGGAAGGAGGCUAUGGGAUCAAUUUAGUGUCUUUGUCUUCUUAAUCUAAUACCCAGAUCAAUUCGUCCUGCCCUGUUUGGGUAAAAUAAUAGAAAUUCUACAAAGCUGAACAUGGAAGCAUGGUUUAUCUUUCAGCUGCAGUAAAUAACACUGCCAAUGGGAGGCAGUGUUUCACCUGUGAGUCGGCGGACUGCUCAUCAAGGCUUCAAUGUGCCGGUGAUGAGGAUCGCUGUCUCUCUGCAACAGUCAGUGCAGCUGGACAGAGCACUACCAUAAAGGGCUGUGCCACCCAAAGUGUCUGCUCUGGAGCAUUUCCAGAGGAGCUGCCCUCGGUGGCUGUGGAACUGACCUGCUGUGAGGCGGAUCUGUGCAACAGUGCCUGGAGUGCUACACACAGUGUCCUGUUCCUGCUGUGGCCCCUGGGCUCUGUUCUGCUCUUCCACUGAGCUGGCUUCAUCUCAGGGUGACUCCUCUACUUGGAGAUGGGCUGCUAUUUUCAACACAAACUUGUUAAUGGCUGUUGAAGCAAAUAAACAAAGAUUUGUUUUCAUUCAUGUGUUAGCAUGUGUUUGUUUUCAUUCAUGUGUUCUGAAUAUUUCAGAAACUAUUCAAACAACUACCUGACACAUUUAUAUCACGUCAGCUUUUUUUUACACCGGUCAUUCUUAAAUGCAAAUGUCGCCACGCCUAUAUCCAAAAUCCACCCCUCGGGUGGAAAGUUCCCUUUGUCACUGGAGUUCAGACAACCAGCAUGGGCGGCCGUUUUCUUUUAAAAUAGGGCCUGCUGACUUUGAGGAUUUCAAAAGGAUUUCAUCUAAGUAUGAUUGAAAUUCUUUACACUUAGUAGUACACAGUGGCGGUGCGUCAAUACAGGGCGCAAGGGCGCCGCCCCUCCUAAAAUUUUGAGAU